rnacentral:rRNA from 1 species
CCUACGGGAGGCAGCAGUGAGGAAUAUUGGUCAAUGGACGAGAGUCUGAACCAGCCAAGUAGCGUGAAGGAUGACUGCCCUAUGGGUUGUAAACUUCUUUUAUAUGGGAAUAAAACGUUCCACGUGUGGGAUUUUGUAUGUACCAUAUGAAUAAGGAUCGGCUAACUCCGUGCCAGCAGCCGCGGUAAUACGGAGGAUCCGAGCGUUAUCCGGAUUUAUUGGGUUUAAAGGGAGCGUAGGUGGAUUGUUAAGUCAGUUGUGAAAGUUUGCGGCUCAACCGUAAAAUUGCAGUUGAAACUGGCAGUCUUGAGUACAGUAGAGGUGGGCGGAAUUCGUGGUGUAGCGGUGAAAUGCUUAGAUAUCACGAAGAAAUCCGAUUGCGAAGGCAGUUCACUGGACUGCAACUGACACUGAGGCUCGAAAGUGUGGGUAUCAAACAGGAUUAGAUACCCGAGUAGUC